rnacentral:rRNA from 1 species
CCAGACUCCUACGGGAGGCAGCAGUCGGGAAUAUUGCACAAUGGAGGAAACUCUGAUGCAGUGACACCGCGUAUAGGAAGAAGGUCUUAGGAUUGUAAGCUAUUGUCGUGUGAGAAGAAAAUGACCAUCACAGGAGGAAGCCCUGGCUAAAUAUGUGCCAGCAGCCGCGGUAAUACAUAUGGGGCGAGCGUUAUCCGGAUUUAUUGGGUGUAAAGGGUGCGUAGGCGGGAAAAUAAGUCAGUAUGUGAAAUCCCUCGGCUCAACUGAGGAACUGCAACUGAAACUAUUUUUCUUGAGUGUUGAAGGGGAAAGUGGAAUUCCUAGUGUAGCGGUGAAAUGCGUAGAGAUUAGGAGGAACACCAGUGGCGAAGGCGACUUUCUGGGCAACAACUGACGCUGAGGCACGAAAGUGUGGGGAGCAAACAGGAUUAGAUACCCUGGUAGUCCACACCGUAAACGAUGGAUACUAGGAGUUGGCAAAAAUAUUGUCGGUUCCGCAGUUAACGCAUUAAGUAUCCCACCUGGGGAGUACGACCGCAAGGUUAAAACUCAUAGGAAUUGACGGGGGCCCGCACAAG